AACCGGAUUAGAUACCCUGGUAGUCCACGCCNNNNACGAUGAAUACUAAGUGUUGGAGGGUUUCCGCCCUUCAGUGCUGCAGCUAACGCAUUAAGUAUUCCGCCUGGGGAGUACGACCGCAAGGUUGAAACUCAAAGGAAUUGACGGGGGCCCGCACAAGCGGUGGAGCAUGUGGUUUAAUUCGAAGCAACGCGAAGAACCUUACCAGGUCUUGACAUCUUCUGCCAGGCUGAGAGAUCAGCUGUUCCCUUCGGGGACAGAAUGACAGGUGGUGCAUGGUUGUCGUCAGCUCGUGUCGUGAGAUGUUGGGUUAAGUCCCGCAACGAGCGCAACCCUUAUGUUCAGUUGCCAGCAUUCAGUUGGGCACUCUGGACAGACUGCCGGUGACAAACCGGAGGAAGGCGGGGAUGACGUCAAAUCAUCAUGCCCCUUAUGACCUGGGCUACACACGUGCUACAAUGGGUGGUACAACGAGCAGCGAGACCGCGAGGUCAAGCGAAUCUCUAAAAACCAUCCUCAGUUCGGAUUGCAGGCUGCAACUCGCCUGCAUGAAGCUGGAAUCGCUAGUAAUCGCGGAUCAGCACGCCGCGGUGAAUACGUUCCCGGGCCUUGUACACACCGCCCGUCACACCAUGAGAGUUUGUAACACCCAAAGCCGGUGGGACAACCGUAAGGAGUCAGCCGUCUAAGGUGGGACAAAUGAUUAGGGUGAAGUCGUAACAAGGUAACC
rnacentral:rRNA from 1 species